rnacentral:ncRNA from 1 species
GAUCACGAGUGCCGACGUUUAGCCCUGGCUUGUCGGACGGCAACCCUCUCCCGUAGCGGGGUGCCCCAGGUGAGGAUCGGGCCGCAUGACACACCGCAUGCGGCAAGUACGGCGC